rnacentral:rRNA from 1 species
UGGCGACCGGCGCACGGGUGCGUAACGCGUAUGCAACCUACCUUUAACAGGGGGAUAACACUGAGAAAUUGGUACUAAUACCCCAUAAUAUCAUAGAAGGCAUCUUUUAUGGUUGAAAGUUCCGAUGGUUAGAGAUGGGCAUGCGUUGUAUUAGCUAGUUGGUGGGGUAACGGCUCACCAAGGCGACGAUACAUAGGGGGACUGAGAGGUUAACCCCCCACACUGGUACUGAGACACGGUCCAA